AGUUACAGUGCCGUCCUGGACCCAGCAGGAGGAGCCCCAUGGAGCCUGGGGCCACAGGCCACAGGGGACAAGGGCCAGACACCCUGGCCAUGGCUCUGGGCCAUUGAUCCAGCCUGGGCUGGCCCGGUGGGGGUGGGGAGGCCUUGGCCUGGACAAACAAAGGCUCCUGAGGCCUGCGUGCAGGCCCAGCACCUAUCCGCCACUCCCAAAGGAUGCCCGUGGCCAAGGCCCCCCAGGUGGCUGGCGGGCAGGGGGACGGAGGUGAUGGCGAGGAAGCAGAGCCGGAGGGGAUGUUCAAGGCCCAUGAGGACUCCAAGAGAAAAGCCCGGGGCUACCUCCGCCUGGCGCCCCUGUGGCUGACCCUGGUUGUGCUGACUUCCGUGGGGGUGCUACUCUGGUAUUUCCUAGGGUACAAGGCGGAGGUGACGGUCAGCCAGGUGUACUCAGGCAGCCUGCGCGUGCUCAAUCGCCACUUCUCCCAGGAUCUUACCCGCCGGGAAUCUAGUGCCUUCCGCAGUGAAACCGCCAAAGCCCAGAAGAUGCUCAAGGAGCUCAUCGCCAGCACCCGCCUGGGAACUUAUUACAACUCCAGCUCCGUCUAUUCCUUUGGGGAGGGGCCGCUCACCUGCUUCUUCUGGUUCAUUCUCCAAAUCCCCGAGCACCGCCGGCCGAUGCUGAGCCCCGAGGCGGUGCAGGCACUGCUGGUGGAGGAGCUGCUGUCCACGGUCAACAGCUCGGCUGCCGUUCCCUACAGGGCCGAGUACGAAGUGGACCCCGAGGGCCUAGUGAUCCUAGAAGCCAGUGUGAAAGACAUAGCUGCACUGAAUUCCACGCUGGGUUGUUACCGCUACAGCUACGUGGGCCAGGGUCAGGUCCUCCGGCUGAAGGGACCCGACCACCUGGCCUCCAGCUGCCUGUGGCACCUGCAGGGCCCCGAAGACCUCAUGCUCAAACUCCGGCUGGAGUGGACGCUGGCCGAGUGCCGGGACCGACUGGCAAUGUAUGACGUGGCUGGGCCCCUGGAGAAGAGGCUCAUCACCUCGGUGUACGGCUGCAGCCGCCAGGAGCCUGUGGUGGAGGUCCUGGCAUCGGGGGCCAUCAUGGCGGUGGUCUGGAAGAAGGGCCUGCACAGCUACUACGACCCCUUUAUGCUCUCCGUGCAGCCGGUGGUCUUCCAGGCCUGCGAGGUGAACCUGACGCUGGAUGACAGGCUGGACUUCCAGGGUGUCCUCAGCACCCCAUACUUCCCCAGCUACUACUCGCCCCGAACCCACUGCUCCUGGCACCUCACGGUGCCCUCUCUGGACUACGGCUUGGCCCUCUGGUUUGACGCCUAUGCACUGCGGAGGCAGAAGUAUGAUUUGCCGUGCACCCAGGGCCAGUGGACAAUCCAGAACAGGAGGCUGUGUGGCCUGCGCAUCCUGCAACCUUACGCCGAGAGGAUCCCCGUGGUGGCCACGGCCGGCAUCACCAUCAAUUUCACCUCCCAGAUCUCCCUCACAGGGCCUGGUGUGCGGGUGCACUAUGGCUUGUACAACCAGUCGGACCCCUGCCCUGGAGAGUUCCUCUGCUCCGUGAAUGGACUCUGCGUCCCUGUUUGUGAUGGGGUCAAGGACUGCCCCAACGGCCUGGAUGAGAGAAACUGUGUUUGCAGAGCCACAUUCCAGUGCCAAGAGGACAGCACGUGCAUCUCACUGCUUAAGGUCUGUGACGGGCAGCCUGACUGUCUCAACGGCAGCGAUGAAGAGCGGUGCCAGGAAGGGGUGCCCUGCGGGACAUUCACCUUCCAGUGUGAGGACCGGAGCUGCGUAAAGAAGCCCAACCCACAGUGUGAUGGGCGGCCCGACUGCAGGGACGGCUCAGACGAGCAGCACUGUGACUGUGGCCUCCAGGGCCCCUCCAGUCGCAUUGUUGGUGGGGCCGUGUCCUCCGAGGGUGAGUGGCCAUGGCAGGCCAGCCUCCAGGUUCGGGGUCGACACAUCUGUGGGGGGGCCCUCAUCGCUGACCGCUGGGUGAUAACAGCUGCCCAUUGCUUCCAGGAGGACAGCAUGGCCUCCCCGGCGCUGUGGACGGUGUUCCUGGGCAAGGUGUGGCAGAACUCGCGCUGGCCUGGAGAGGUGUCCUUCAAGGUGAGCCGCCUGCUCCUGCACCCGUAUCACGAAGAGGACAGCCACGACUACGACGUGGCGCUGUUGCAGCUCGACCACCCGGUGGUGCGCUCAGCCGCCGUGCGUCCUGUCUGCCUGCCCGCGCGCUCCCACUUCUUCGAACCCGGUCUGCACUGCUGGAUCACCGGCUGGGGUGCCCUGCGCGAAGGCGCCCUGGGGCGGAUGCUGUGGCCUCAUUUUAUGGAUGGAGAAACCAAGGCUCAGAGACAUGUUGCUGCCCCACCAGCAAUGCUCUGCAGAAAGUGGACGUGCAGUUGAUCCCACAGGACCUGUGCAGCGAGGCCUAUCGUUACCAGGUGACGCCACGCAUGCUGUGUGCUGGCUACCGCAAGGGCAAGAAGGAUGCCUGCCAGGGUGACUCGGGUGGUCCGCUGGUAUGCAAGGCACUCAGUGGCCGCUGGUUCCUGGCAGGGCUGGUCAGCUGGGGCCUGGGCUGUGGCCGGCCUAACUACUUCGGCGUCUACACCCGCAUCACAGGUGUGAUUGGCUGGAUCCAGCAAGUGGUGACCUGAGGAACUGCUCCCCUGCAGAGCGGGUCCCACCUCCUGGACUCAGAGAGCCCAGAGCAAUUGCCAAGCAGGGGGACAAGUAUUCUGGGGAGGGGGGCGAGCGGGCCCUGUGGUGGCAGGAGGUGGCAUCUUGUCUUGUCCCUGAUGUCUGCUCCAAUGAUGGCAGGAGGAUGAAGGAGUGCCAGCAGCUGGGGGUCAAGACAUCCCCUGGGGACCCAGGCCCACACCCAGACCUUCUGCCUCCCGAUUCUGUCUCCACCGUCCCCUUCCUCCACUGCUGCCUAUUGCAAAGAAGUGGCUCAGCAGCAAGAAUGCUGGCUCUACGUCCCCAGGAGUGUCUGAGGUGUACACUCUGUACAGAGGCUGCUUGGGCAGUCUUGCCUCCAGAGAGCAGAUGCCAGCUUUGGAAGCCCCUGGUCUAACUUGGGAUCUUGGAAUGGAAGGUGCCCCCAUAGGAGGGGACCCUCUGAGCCCUGGGGACUGCCAGGUAGGCCAGCUGCCACCCUAAGCCAAAAAAGGUGGGGAAGCCCUGACUCCAGGGUCCUUGCUCCACCCCUGCCUGCCACCUGGCCCCUCACAGUCCCGACCCUCACCGGGAGGUGAGCUCAGCUGCCCUUUGGAAUAAAGCUGCCUGAUCCAA